GGAUGUGAGGGUGAUCUGGCUGUGACAGUUGUCACCACACUGAUCGCCAGGACUGAUUGGGCUGAUCUGGCUGGCGAGGCCAGUGUCCCCUUCUUCCCUCACCACUCCACGUGCGUCCCUCCCAAAGGGAGUGUGUGCACAAGGCCUAAGCGGAUGGCCUCCCCCCAGUAGAGAUGGACCGGGCUGCACUCCCCUGCUCAGACCUCCAAACAAACUCUCAAGGGAAAGGAAUCCUCGUGCCGUGCCGGUAGGGGAGGCAGGCAGGAGUCGCCAAUAGUGCACUGCGGUUGUGAGCAUCU
rnacentral:snRNA from 1 species